rnacentral:rRNA from 1 species
UACGUAGGGUGCAAGCAUUAAUCGGAUUUAUUGGGCGUAAAGGGCGCGUAGGCGGGAUUGUAAGUCAGAUGUUAAAGCCCGGGGCUCAACCCCGGAAAAGCAUUUGAGACUGUGAUUCUAGAGGGUAGGCGGAGAAAAUGGAAUUCCACAAGUAGCGGUGAAAUGCGUAGAUAUGUGGAAGAACACCGGUGGCGAAGGCGGUUUUCUAGCUUAUACCUGACGCUGAAGCGCGAAAGCAAGGGGAGCAAACAGG